GAUGAAGAACGUAGCGAAAUGCGAUACGUAAUGUGAAUUGCAGAAUUCAGUGAAUCAUCGAAUCUUUGAACGCACAUUGCGCCCGCUGGAAUUCCAGCGGGCAUGCCUGUUCGAGCGUCAUUUCACCCCUCAAGCACAGCUUGGUGUUGGGACUCGCGUUAAUUCGCGUUCCCCAAAUUGAUUGGCGGUCACGUCGAGCUUCCAUAGCGUAGUAGUAAAACCCUCGUUACUGGUAAUCGUCGCGGCCACGCCGUUAAACCCCAACUUCUGAAUGUUGACCUCGGAUCAGGUAGGAAUACCCGCUGAACUUAAGCAUAUCAAUAAGCGGAGGA
rnacentral:misc_RNA from 1 species